ensembl:snRNA U6 U6 spliceosomal RNA
UUGCUUCAGCAGCACGUGUACUAAAACUGGAAUGAUACAGAGAUUAGCACGGCCCCGAGCAAGAAUGAAAUGCAAAUCCGUGAAGUGUUCCAGAGUGAA